rnacentral:rRNA from 1 species
AGAAUCAACGCUGGCGGCGUGCCUAACACAUGCAAGUCGAACGAGAAAGUGGAGCAAUCCAUGAGUAAAGUGGCGCACGGGUGAGUAACACGUGACUAACCUACCCUUGAGUGGGGGAUAACCUAGGGAAACCUGGGCUAAUACCGCAUAAUACCUACGGGUCAAAGGAGCAAUUCGCUUAAGGAGGGGUCGCGGCAGAUUAGUUAGUUGGCGGGGUAAUGGCCCACCAAGACAGUGAUCUGUA